GAUGAACGCUAGCGGCAGGCCUAAUACAUGCAAGUCGGACGGGAUUUGGGAGCUUGCUCCCGAUGAGAGUGGCGCACGGGUGCGUAACACGUAUGUAACCUACCUUUGUCAGGGGGAUAGCCUCUCGAAAGAGAGAUUAAGACCGCAUAACAUUACAAUGUGGCAUCACAAAGUAAUCAAAUAUUUAUAGGACAAAGGUGGGCAUGCGGAACAUUAGCUAGUUGGUACGGUAACGGCGUACCAAGGCUACGAUGUUUAGGGGAUCUGAGAGGAUGGCCCCCCACACUGGUACCGAGACACGGACCAGACUCCUACGGGGGGCAGCAGUAAGGAAUAUUGGUCAAUGGACGGAAGUCUGAACCAGCCAUGCCGCGUGCAGGAAGACGGCCCUACGGGUUGUAAACUGCUUUUGCAGGGGAAUAAACCCCGAUAUGUAUAUCGGGCUGAAUGUACUCUGAGAAUAAGGAUCGGCUAACUCCGUGCCAGCAGCCGCGGUAA
rnacentral:rRNA from 1 species